GCAAUCCGUCGCAAUUUUCUUUUUUUUUCUCAUUCACUCGCGACGGGCCUUAAUAUCGUCACAAAUAGUAUUCCUAAAUUGGCGCCAAAAUUCUCUCCCACUCCCUCUUUCCCGAAAUCCCCAAAUUAUCUGUAAUCUGUUGGAAUAAAAAAAAAAUAAAAAACCCUUCCUCUAUCUCACUGCUCUCUCCCUUCGAUACUCUACCCUAAUCUCACCUAAUCUCACUGCUCUCUCCCUCCCUCCCUCUCACCCUCCCUCUCACCCAGUCGUCACUCUAUCUCUCUUGCAGCGACAACAGCUUCCUCUAGGUAACCCUCUUCUUUUCUCUCGCUCUUGCUCACGCAGACCCUCCCUCUCACCCAGUCGUCGUUCUGUCUGUCUUGCUGCGGCAACAACAGCGUCUGUAGCAGCGGCAACAACAGCGCCACUCUAGUUCUCCCUCCGGCAUCCAGACAUUUGGAAGACAAUCAGCUUAGUGGAGAGAUUCUCCCAUCACUUGGAAACAUUAACAGCUUGAGUGAACUGAUGUAAUUAAAGUUUCUUUGGAGAGUUCUGUAAUACCAAGAGUCCAAUUGGCGGAGGGACUUCUUAUUAGUGUUGAUCCAUUGUGUGAAAUUCAUGGAGUUCCAAUUGGACCUGGAUUUUGUAAAGUUUUUGUUUUAAAAGCGAACAAGCCGAACGCUGUUUUGGAAACAACUUCCCGAUGUCUAAGAACAGUUGGAGAAGCUGUGGGAAGAUACAUUGUGUGGCGCUCGAUUCAUGUGUAACCCUUUUGAGUACGUGAUGAUAUCUUCGCAUAUCGAUAUUAGAGUUUACAAUCUUA